AAAUAAACUAACUGUGGAUCCCUGUGUGACCAAGGAGCAAAGAAUAGAAGGAUUUGAUCUUUCAGGGCCCAUGGGUGGACCAUCCAAGACAGGGUGCACACAUGUCCCAGAAACUGAAGGAGAGCGGAGACCCCUGGGGUGUCGUGGCAUGAACAGGAGUUGGAGAGGCUGCAAGGCUGGGCAGUGGGCAGCCUGAAAACCUCAUGAAGGACCCUGUCCUUUGUGGAUUUCAGGAUGUCACACUCAGCUGAAGCCAGAAUGUGGAGCAACAGAUGGAAACCAGUUCAUGCUCUUGAAAGAGUCACCUGUGCCAGCCAAGCACGGACAUGAAGGGCGGAGGAAGAGCCAACUUGAGGAGUCCACUGAGAAGACCACUCAGAGGCUGGAAGAGAGGGGCUCAGACUAGCAAUGACCUGGGAGAGGAGCGAAGGAGCAGACUUCAAGAAUGGCUUGGAGACAGCAGAAAGAAACUGACAGUGCUUGACAGUGUUUGCUUUUAAAUUGC
rnacentral:lncRNA from 1 species